rnacentral:snRNA from 1 species
GUGCUUGCUUCAGCAGCACAGAUUGGAAUGAUAAGAGAAGACCAGCAUGGCUCUUGUGCAAGGAUAACACACAGAUUCGUGAAGCAUUCCAUGUUUAA